rnacentral:lncRNA from 1 species
AAUCUUAAGGUCUUAUAAAAUGCACACAAAAAUAAUCAGAGAGUAGGUUAGGGCAUUCGAGUCAGGUACGGAUCGGUUUCUUUCGGGUCUGAGUUCUUUUGAUCUUAAAAAUCUAAACAUAACCAGGUAUUUAAAAUUUCUGGUAUGUGUCAAGGCCGGUUCUUUCGGGUUCAGAUAUGUUCGGGUUCAUAAUUCAAAUACUUUUAAAACAUCUAUAAUUUUUGGAUAUGAAACGGGACUGGAUAUGUUAAAAAAUGGGAAUGGAUUGGUUUGGGUAUUUAAGACCUAAAAAAUGUCAAAACACGAA